rnacentral:rRNA from 1 species
AGUGAACGCUGGCGGCGUGCCUAAUACAUGCAAGUCGAACGAUGAAGUCCUAGCUUGCUAGGAUGGAUUAGUGGCGCACGGGUGAGUAAUAUAUAGUUAAUCUGCCCUACACAGAGGAACAACAGUUGGAAACGACUGCUAAUACCUCAUACUCCUAUUUGACAUAAGUUAAAUAGGGAAAGUCUUUUCGGUGUAGGAUGAGACUAUAUCGUAUCAGCUAGUUGGUAAGGUAAUGGCUUACCAAGGCUAUGACGCGUAACUGGUCUGAGAGGAUGAUCAGUCACAUUGGAACUGAGCCACGGUCCAAACUCCUACGGGAGGCAGCAGUAAGGAAUCUUGCGCAAUGGGGGCAACCCUGACGCAGCAACGCCGCGUGGAGGAUGACACUUUUCGGAGCGUAAACUCCUUUUAUCAGGAAAGAAUAAUGACGGUACCUGAUGAAUAAGCACCGGCUAACUCCGUA